UGCGUAGGCGGAUUAAUAAGUCAGUGGUGAAAUCUUUCGGCUCAACCGAGAAACUGCCAUUGAUACUGUUGAUCUUGAGUUCGGUUGAGGUAGGCGGAAUGUGUAAUGUAGCGGUGAAAUGCUUAGAUAUUACACAGAACACCAAUUGCGUAGGCAGCUUACUAGACCGACACUGACGCUGAGGCACGAAAGCGUGGGGAGCGAACAGGAUUAGAUACCCUGGUAGUC
rnacentral:rRNA from 1 species